AGAGUUUGAUCUUGGCUCAGAUUGAACGCUGGCGGCAUGCUUUACACAUGCAAGUCGAACGCGGAGCUCUGCUUCGGCCGAGUGGCGAGUGGCGCACGGGUGAGUAAUACGUCAGUAACCUGCCCCGGAAACUGGAAUAGCCCCGGGAAACCGGGAUUAAUACCGGAUAUGGCUUCUGGCCGCGUGACCGGGGGACUCAAGGUCUGCCGUUCUGGGAUGGGCCCGCGUCCCAUUAGCUAGUUGGUAGGGUAAAGGCCUACCAAGGCGACGAUGGGUAGCUGGUCUGAGAGGAUGGUCACCCACACUGGGACUGAGACACGGCCCAGACUCCUACGGGAGGCAGCAGUGGGGAAUUUUGCGCAAUGGGCGCAAGCCUGACGCAGCGAUGCCGCGUGAGUGAAGAAGGUCUUCGGAUUGUAAAGCCCUUUCAGGGGGGAAGAAAUUUGACGGUACCUUCAGAGGAAGCACCGGCUAACUACGUGCCAGCAGCCGCGGUAAUACGUAGGGUGCAAGCGUUAUUCGGAAUUACUGGGCGUAAAGGGCGCGCAGGCGGUUUUCUAAGUCUGAUGUGAAAUCCCGGGGCUCAACCUGGGAACUGCAUUGGAAACUGGGGGACUAGAGUAUGGGAG
rnacentral:rRNA from 1 species